rfam:Immundisolibacter cernigliae strain TR3.2, complete genome.
UUCACCGCGAGGUGAAAUCUGAAGGAAGCCGAAGGCAGAACGCUGUCCGGCGCUGCUGGCAAGUGACCGCC